rnacentral:rRNA from 1 species
GACGAACGCUGGCGGCGUGCUUAACACAUGCAAGUCGAACGGAAAGGCCCUGCUUUUGUGGGGUGCUCGAGUGGCGAACGGGUGAGUAACACGUGAGUAACCUGCCCUUGACUUUGGGAUAACUUCAGGAAACUGGGGCUAAUACCGGAUAGGAGCUCCUGCUGCAUGGUGGGGGUUGGAAAGUUUCGGCGGUUGGGGAUGGACUCGCAGCUUAUCAGCUUGUUGGUGGGGUAGUGGCUUACCAAGGCCUUGACGGGUAGCCGGCCUGAGAGGGUGACCGGCCACAUUGGGACUGAGAUACGGCCCAGACUCCUACGGGAGGCAGCAGUGGGGAAUAUUGCACAAUGGGCGGAAGCCUGAUGCAGCAACGCCGCGUGCGGGAUGACGGCCUUCGGGUUGUAAACCGCUUUCGCCUGUGACGAAGCGUGAGUGACGGUAAUGGGUAAAGAAGCACCGGCUAACUACGUG